rnacentral:rRNA from 1 species
GACGAACGCUGGCGGCGUGCUUAACACAUGCAAGUCGAACGGAAAGGCCCUGCUUUUGUGGGGUGCUCGAGUGGCGAACGGGUGAGUAACACGUGAGUAACCUGCCCUUGACUUUGGGAUAACUUCAGGAAACUGGGGCUAAUACCGGAUAGGAGCUCCUGCUGCAUGGUGGGGGUUGGAAAGUUUGGGCGGUUGGGGAUGGACUAGAGGCUUAUCAGAUUGUUGGUGGGGUAGUGGCUUACCACGGCUUUGACGGGUAGCAGGCCUGAGAUGGUGACCUGCCAGAUUGGGACUGGACAGCGGCCCAAACUCCUACCGGAGGCAGCAGGGGGGAAUUUUGCACAAUGGUCGGAAGCCUGAUGCAGCAACGCCGCGUGCGGGAUGUCGGCCUUCGGGCUGUAAACCGCUUUCGCCUGUGACGAAGCGUGAGUGACGGUAAUGGGUAAAUAAGCACCGGCUAACUACGUG